UAGAUACCCUGGUAGUCCACGCUGUAAACGAUGAGUGCUAGACGUUGGAGGUUAACUUCAGUGUCGCAGCUAACGCAUUAAGCACUCCGCCUGGGGAGUACGGUCGCAAGAUUAAAACUCAAAGGAAUUGACGGGGGCCCGCACAAGCGGUGGAGCAUGUGGUUUAAUUCGACGCAACGCGAAAAACCUUACCAGCUUGACUUGGGGAUUCUGGGUUUCAGAGAUGAGACCCUUCAGUUCGGCUGGGUCC
rnacentral:rRNA from 1 species